ensembl:lncRNA
GCCUAACGUGCCCUCGUUUGAGAAAAGCGUUCUGGCCUGAGUCUGGACUGCAGGGAUGCCAGCUGGACCCAGCUCCCCGCCAGGGGCCGCGUUGUCUUUAUCUCACACCACUGAGCAUUGGUGUUUUGACUGUAAAUUAAACUCAUGCCACAUGGGACAGGACUUGCUUUGAUUCUGUCUAAUGCAAGCCUUGCUGGGAACAAAAAAUAAAGCUGGAUACUAAGAAGGUGUCAAGACCUCAGUGGAUAAGGAAUGAAUAAGUUCUUCCAGUGCAAGUGCCAUGUCGUAUUCAUCUUUAUGCCUGCUGGGAUGACAAGCCCAGUCACUUGUACAAGAAGUGGCUUGGUUCUUCCAUCUCUCCCCUCCCAUCACGCACAGCAGCCAGCCAGCCAGUGAACUGGGGGUGGAAACAGCUGUGAUUCUCCAGUGAAAAACUCGCUCAGCGUGAGAGGCGCAUGUGACAAGGCAGGGCGCAGCACCCCUGGGAGGCCUGCGGCUCUCGCAUCCAGACUUCCUGGGAAAUCAAGGAGAAAUAACAGGCAGUUCACAUUUGCAGCCAGCCAGCCUGGGUGGCAUGCUUUGAAGGGAAGCGCUCAGAAACCCAUCCUGGAGCCAGGCCUCUCUGACUCACUGGAGAUCUGGGGGCCUGUCUGCCCUCUGGGGCAGCCUCAGGAAGCUGAAGGAAUCAAGUCAAGACCCUUGCAGAGCUGGUGUGAAGAAUCACAACUCCUGUAAUACACACUCCAAC